CCUUAGAGUUUGAUCCUGGCUCAGGACGAACGCUGGCGGCGCGCCUAACACAUGCAAGUCGAACGAGAGAUGAGGAGCUUGCUCUUCAAAUCGAGUGGCGAACGGGUGAGUAACGCGUGAGGAACCUGCCUCAAAGAGAGGGACAACAGUUGGAAACGACUGCUAAUACCGCAUAAGCCCACAGCUCGGCAUCGAGCAGAGGGAAAAGGAGCAAUCCGCUUUGAGAUGGCCUCGCGUCCGAUUAGCUAGUUGGUGAGGUAACGGCCCACCAAGGCGACGAUCGGUAGCCGGACUGAGAGGUUGAACGGCCACAUUGGGACUGAGACACGGCCCAGACUCCUACGGGAGGCAGCAGUGGGGAAUAUUGCACAAUGGGGGAAACCCUGAUGCAGCGACGCCGCGUGGAGGAAGAAGGUCUUCGGAUUGUAAACUCCUGUUGUUGAGGAAGAUAAUGACGGUACUCAACAAGGAAGUGACGGCUAACUACGUGCCAGCAGCCGCGGUAAAACGUAGGUCACAAGCGUUGUCCGGAAUUACUGGGUGUAAAGGGAGCGCAGGCGGGAGAACAAGUUGGAAGUGAAAUCCAUGGGCUCAACCCAUGAACUGCUUUCAAAACUGUUUUUCUUGAGUAGUGCAGAGGUAGGCGGAAUUCCCGGUGUAGCGGUGGAAUGCGUAGAUAUCGGGAGGAACACCAGUGGCGAAGGCGGCCUACUGGGCACCAACUGACGCUGAGGCUCGAAAGUGUGGGUAGCAAACAGGAUUAGAUACCCUGGUAGUCCACACCGUAAACGAUGAUUACUAGGUGUUGGAGGAUUGACCCCUUCAGUGCCGCAGUUAACACAAUAAGUAAUCCACCUGGGGAGUACGACCGCAAGGUUGAAACUC
rnacentral:rRNA from 1 species